rnacentral:rRNA from 1 species
AGAGUUUGAUCAUGGCUCAGGAUGAACGUUGGCGGCGUGCCUAACACAUGCAAGUCGAACGGGAAGCCCUGCUUUGGUGGGGUGGAGAGUGGCGGACGGGUGCGUAACACGUAGCUAAUCUGCCCCGAAGACGGGGACAACCGCUGGAAACGGCGGCUAAUACCGGAUAAUCCCUUUCAUUGUGGAAGGGGAAAGGGUCUACGGACUGCUUUGGGAGGGGGCUGCGGCCCAUCAGCUGGAUGGUGGGGUAAGGGCUCACCAUGGCGAUGACGGGUAGGGGAUCUGAGAGGGUGGUCCUCCACACCGGGACUGAGAACGGCCCGGACUCCUGCGGGAGGCAGCAGUGAGGGAUAUUGCGCAAUGGGCGAAAGCCUGACGCAGCGACGCCGCGUGGGUGAAGAAGGUUUUCGGACCGUAAAGCCCUUUUCUGCACGAAGAGGAUGACGUAGCGCAG